rnacentral:lncRNA from 1 species
AAAUAUGAGGACCCUCUGCUGGCCUGACAUACUAGAUAGGCAAGGAGGUUGGGACAACCUCCCUAACCUUUUCAUCUAUACAUUCUUGCCUUGGUUCUAUGUAGAACCUCUGAAAAGGACGUAGGGCCAAUGCCGGAUUCCAAGCUAAUACCAGAUUAAUUGUCCUCCUUCACUUAUUGACCCCAUUCAGGGCUGAGCUCAUGCCCUGCCUCUUCUGAGGGUCCUCCACUGAGAACUCCCAGAGCCCUCCCCAUCUCACCACACAGGGCCUUGAUACCAGCUACUCAGUUUCCUUCCCCCAAAGCAAUCAAUGUUCGCAAUGCUUUGUUUAUCCUUCCAGAAAUAGUCUAUGGCCUAUACUAGCAGGGGCACUUCCUCUAGCAAGACCGGAAUUAACUUGACUCCACCCAAGUAGAACCUGCCCACUCCCCAGCUCACAGCACAGUAUUCAAGAAAGAUCAGCUGAUGAACCCACAGGUGCUCAAAAUGCUCUCCAAUGCUCAGUGAAGAGUUCACCAUGUGCAAAAUUCACCAUGUGCACCAUCCUAUUGAUGAUCCAGAGAAAUGUUCAUGAAACUUCAGGAGGAAGAAGAAGAGAAAGAGGAGGAAGAAAGAAGCAGAUGCCCACUCUUCCACUCUUGGGGAUUGAAAAGGCUUUGUCAGAUGUUGGAACUGGCCAAAAGCCCCCACCGUGACAAUCUUCGUGGGCUGCCAAGGGGCGGGACAAUGUAA